rnacentral:rRNA from 1 species
GACGAACGCUGGCGGCGUGCUUAACACAUGCAAGUCGAACGGAAAGGCCCUGCUUUUGCGGGGUGCUUGAGUGGCGAACGGGUGAGUAACACGUGAGUAACCUGCCCCUGACUUUGGGAUAACUUCAGGAAACUGGGGCUAUUACCGGAUAGGAGCUCCUGAUGCACGGUGGGGGUUGGAAAGUUUCGGCGGUUGGGGCUGGACUCGCGGCUUAUCCGCUUGUUGGUGGGGUAGUGGUUUACCAAGGUUUUGACGGGUAGCCGGCAUGGGAGGGUGACCGGCGACAAGGGGACUGAGAUACGGCCCAGACUCCUACGGGAGGCAGCAGGGGGGAAUAUUGCACAAUGGGCGGAAGCCAGAGGCAGCAACGCCGCGUUCGGGAUGACGGCCUUCGGGGUGUAAACCGCUUUCGCCUGUGACGAAGCGUGAGUGACGGUAAUGGGUAAAGAAGCACCGGCUAACUACGUG